AUUCAGCUGACCAGUCCCAAAUAGUACGAAAACGCGCGUCUUGGAU
rfam:Schistosoma margrebowiei strain Zambia genome assembly, scaffold: SMRZ_contig0001111